UUAGCCCACUUGAAGGAGACCUCUCUUCGGUGGAAGUUGUAUUAGUUAGCUGCAGGAGAGCCUUGGGGGAGGGAACACACAACUUCUGCAACGGCCGGGGUUGUCCCAGGGCAGUGUCUGGGUGAGUUUCACUCUGCCACCAUGGCAGGACCAGCUGCUCCAGUCAAUAAGGGAGGAGCUGGUUGCUGGGAGCAUUGAAGAAGGUGGCAGAGCUGAGCCCCAGGGCAUACAUGGCUCUAUAGAGGAAUCGUCAAAUGCACUGGCCGGAGACUCUGGGAGCUCCCUUAGAGUCUGAGCGGGAAGCAUACUGAGACAUGGGCGAAGUCGGUGACACCGGGAGGGACGAGGAGCGCACCGUUCGCGCAGCUUGGGGCUCUGGCUGUCGGUUCAUGGCGAGCAGAGAGGCUCUGAAAAGCUUGCAGCUCCGGGCUCAAGGGAGAUGAGACUUCACUCUUACUGCGUAGGAGACACAGGAGACUGAAAUCUCUCUACUUCGUGGCCCAGAGGAAGACUCCCAGGUGGUUUUGGCUGGUACAAACAUCCUGGACAGACAGAUGGGGUCUUAGCCUUGGAUCUUCAGUCUGGAGAUUUCCCUCCCUCGAGAUCUGCCUCAGAACCUGCUUCUCAAGGCUCAACCUCAACUGUUUCUGUUUAUUUCCCCAGCCUCUCCCAGUUGGUGUCCUGGUCCUGGCUUUGAAGAACAGUGGGAAGACUCCAUGGUACCCAUUCUGUGAUCUGAGGGUGGUUAAUUUCCUGGUGCGACCAAACUCAAGGUUUAGAUGACAAGUGGAAUUUUACUUUUCAAGCUCACCAACUCCGCCAUCAGAUCUAACCCACUAGCACCAGCUAGGGAAAUACAAAGAAACAAAGAGGUUGUUGCCUCUCCCAGGCAACUGUCUAGUUUACCAGCUUUAUCAAACAUCGAAUGAGUGAUUCCUGUAUGCACACAA